UAAAAAAAGAAGUCAAAUACAUACAACUUAAUGUUCCACGUGGGAUUGACCAGAAAGUGAAGACCAAUUCACUUUCAACCGUCAAUUUGCACUUUGAUUUGUAGUUUAUGUACAUAGACAAAUCCCCUUUUUCUUGUCUGGCAUAAAAUUACAUUAGAUAAGGUGAUGAGAAUUUGGAAAACUUUGAUAUGCUUACCAAGAAUAUCAACGGACCUAUAGAAAUAGAUAAUAUCACUGCCUCAAAUAAGCCAAGUUCAAUUAGAACACUGAUUGUAAAACUAUCCUAUAUCGAAAAUAAGUCUUAAUUAGCCGCCCUUUGAUGUCUAUAUAAGCCCAGUGUUCUUUAUUUGUAAGACCAAUUGCAGUGCUUGCAAGUCACAACUGCGAGGUGCAGUAUCGAGCCAUCGACUUAAGGUGCGAGAGUUUAACGUUUCCUCCGUCACCUUGAGAUCCGACCAAUUUUACUUCAAGAUAGUGGCAACGCAAUAAUCGUCUUAGGGUGCGAGAGUUUAACUUCGUCUCUGUCAUCCUAAGAUUCGACCAAUUUUUCUUCAAGAUGGUGACUAUGCAACAAUCGGCUUUGGAUGCGAGAGUUUAACUUCACCUCCAUACACUUUAAGACUGACCAAUUUGACUUCAAGAUGGUGACUUUUCUUCAAGUAUGGUCCCUUUCACCGAUGCUCUUAUACAAUGGUCUUCUUUAAGUAUGGGUCCUUUCACUGAUGCAAUUAUGCAAUGGUCUUCUUUAAGUAUGAGCUCUUUCACUAAUGCAAUUAUGCAAUGGUCUUCUUUAAGUAUGAGCCUUUUCACCGAUGCACUUAUGCAAUGGUCUUCUUUAAAUAUGGGCCCCAAUUAUGCAAUCAUCUUCUUUAAGUAUGAGCCUUUUCACCGAUGCA